GUGGGGAAUAUUCCGCAAUGGACGAAAGUCUGACGGAGCAACGCCGCGUGAGUGAUGAAGGUUUUCGGACUGUAAAGCUCUGUUGUUUAGGACGAAAGUGCCUGUUGCAAAUAGUUACAGGUAUUGACGGUACUGAACGAGGAAGCCACGGCUAACUACGUGCCAGCAGCCGCGGUAAUACGUAGGUGGCAAGCGUUGUCCGGAAUUAUUGGGCGUAAAGAGCAUGUAGGCGGGAAUCUAAGUCUGUUGUGAAAAUGCGGGGCUCAACCCCGUAUUGCGAUGGAAACUGGGUUUCUUGAGUGCAGGAGAGGAAAGGGGAAUUCCCAGUGUAGCGGUGAAAUGCGUAGAUAUUGGGAGGAACACCAGUGGCGAAGGCGCCUUUCUGGACUGUGUCUGACGCUGAGAUGCGAAAGCCAGGGUAGCGAACGGGAUUAGAAACCCGGGUAGUCC
rnacentral:rRNA from 1 species